CAGUCUACACAGUACAUUCAUUCUUCAGCUUGCUGUGUUGUUUGUAGCAUACAAACUAAACAAGUCAUUAAAAUUUAAAUCAGCUUAAAAAGAAUAACUGGUUUGAGACCACCAUUCCAUCAUCCCUGCCCCCCCCCCUCCUCCAUCCACAAGAUUCUGUAAUGAAGUAAACAAAUAAACUCCUGACGAAUUGAAUUAGCUCAUUGUAAAGGGAUCGUGUACGGUUUAAAAAUGGGAGAUUUGUACGGUCCCCUGGAGACAAGAAGCUGGGAGCGGGGGAAGAGGGACGACUACACCCUGCAAGGACUGGACAGGGACUGGCUCCUUGUCACUAAGAAUUAUCUUCGUGGCCGAGAGGAGCAUGAUGGGGUUCAAGCCCUGGGUGUAGAUGUAUUAGAUGCUAGGGGGACAUUUGA